GGAGCGGCGCUGUCCCUCGCGCCCGGUUCUCUGAGGUUCCAGAGCAACUUUGGUGCUGUAGGUUUGGGGAAAGCAGGCUGGCACCCUCAGGAAGACGGUCCCCUGCCUGAGGACGGGGUUUCCAGGAACCCAUCCACCCAGCCAUGCUGAGAAGAAGACCUAGAAACUCAUGGAGAGGAGUGGGGUCUCCUUGCCCUUGGCCAUGACUGAGCUCCCAGCUGGCAGCCGCACCAACUUGCCAGCCAUGCAGUAACACAUCCUGACAGCAGAUUCUCCAACCCCAGUGAAGCUGCCCCAACUGACACAACAUGGAACAGACAUGAGCCUUCUCUGUUGAUUGCUGUUUGAGCUGAAAAUUUGUGAACUGAAAUGCUGUGUUGGAGCCGGAGGAAGAUGGCGGAAGAGUAAGACGCGGAGAUCACCUUCCUCCCCACAGAUACAUCAGAAAUUCAUCUACACGUGGAACAACUCCUACAGAACACCUACUGAACGCCGACAGAAGACCUCAGACCCCCUAAAAGGCAAGAAACUCCCCACAUACCUGGGUAGGGCAAAAGAAAAAAAGAAUAAACAGAGACAAUAGGAUAGGGACGGGACCUGCACCAGUGGGAGGGAGCCGUGAAGGAGGGAAGGUUUCUACACACUGCAAGCCCCUUCGCGGGCGGAGACUGCAGGUGGCGGAGGGGGAAAGCUUCGGAGUAGCGGAGGAGAGCACAGCAACAGGGGUGUGGAGGGCAAAGCGGAGAGAUUCCGGCACAGAGGAUCGGUGCCCUCAGGCACACACCAGCCCGAGAGGCUUCUCUGCUCGGCCGCAGUGGCGGGCGGGGCUGGGAGCUGAGGCUUGGGUAUCGGCUUUCAGUCGGAGCGCAGGGAGAGGACUGGGGCUGGCAGCAGGAAGAGAGCCUGAAGGGGUUAGAGCACCACGGCUAGCCCGGAGGGAGUCCGGGGAAAGGGUCUGGAGUUGCUGAAGAGGCAAGAGUCUUUUUUCACUUUCACUUUCGUUUCCUGGUGUGCGAGGAGAGGGCAUUAAAAGGGCUGCUUAGGGAAGCGCCGGAGACAGGCGCGAGCCGCGGGUAAGGCGUGGACCUUGGA